rnacentral:rRNA from 1 species
AGAGUUGAUCCUGGCUCAGAACGAACGCUGGCGGCAUGGAUUAGGCAUGCAAGUUGAACGAACUCCUUCGGGAGUGAGUAGCGGAAGGGUGAGGAACGCGUGAGUAAUCUGCCCCCCAGUUGGGAAUAACAGUUGGAAACGACUGCUAAUACCGAAUGUGGCUUAAGCUUCGCCUGGAGCUUUGGCUAAAGAUUUAUCGCUGGGGGAUGAGCUCGCGUCCCAUUAGGUAGUUGGUGAGGUAACGGCUCACCAAGCCGACGAUGGGUAGCUGGUCUGAGAGGAUGGUCAGCCACACUGGGACUGAGACACUGCCCAGACUCCUACGGGAGGCUGCAGUCGAGAAUCUUGGGCAAUGCGCGAAAGCGUGAACCCCCAGCAAUGCCGCGUGUAUGAUGAAGGCCCUCGGGUCGUAAAGUACUGUCUCCCGUGACGAAAUUUGACGGUAGCGGGGAAGGAAGCCACGGCUAACUACGUGCCAGCAGCCGC